rnacentral:tRNA from 1 species
GGGAGCGGAUGAGUCCCGGUGGACUUCGCGGACUUCAACUCCGUCUGGGGGGCGUUAGAGCGUCUUCGGUGGGUUCGACUCCCAUGCGCUCCCGCCA